rnacentral:rRNA from 1 species
CCUACGGGAGGCAGCAGUAGGGAAUUUUGCGCAAUGGGCGAAACCCUGACGCAGCAACGCCGCGUGAACGAGACGCCAUUCGGGGUGUAAAGUUCUGUUAGUGGGGACGAAAGAUGACGGUACCCACAGAGGAAGCACCGGCUAACUACGUGACAGCAGCCGCGGUAAUACGGAGGGUGCAAGCGUUGUCCGGAAUCACUGGGCGUAAAGAGAUCGUAGGCGGUAUGUUAAGUCUGGUGUUAAAUGCAGAAGCUCAACUUCUGUUCGGCAUUGGAUACUGGCAAGCUAGAAUGCAGUAGAGGUAAAGGGAAUUCCUGGUGUAGCGGUGAAAUGCUUAGAUAUGAGGAGGAACAUCGGUGGCGAAGGCGCUUUACUGGGCCGUAAUUGACGCUGAGGAACGAAAGCGUGGGGAGCAAACAGGAUUAGAUACCCUUGUAGUC